rnacentral:tRNA from 1 species
UCCCAGGUGGCUCAGUGGUAAAGAAUCUGCCUGCAAUGCAGGAGACCUGGGUUCAAUUCCUGGGUUGGGAA